rnacentral:rRNA from 1 species
GCACGGGUGAGUAACGCGUAUGCAAUCUACCUUUAACUGAGGAAUAGCCCAGAGAAAUUUGGAUUAAUACCUCAUAGUAUUAUUUAUAGGCAUCUAUAUUAUAAUUAAAACUUCGGUGGUUAAAGAUGAGCAUGCGUCCUAUUAGCUUGUUGGUAAGGUAAAAGCUUACCAAGGCUACGAUAGGUAGGGGGCCUGAGAGGGUGACCCCCCACACUGGUACUGAGACACGGACCAGACUCCUACGGGAGGCAGCAGUGAGGAAUAUUGCGCAAUGGAGGAAACUCUGACGCAGCCAUGCCGCGUGCAGGAUGAAUGCCCUAUGGGUUGUAAACUGCUUUUCUGCAAGAAGAAACCUUAGUACGUGUACUAAGUUGACGGUACUGCAG